UGCGUAGGUGGCUUCGUAAGUAAGGAGUGAAAUCCCUCGGCUUACCCGGGGAAUUGCUUUUUAUACUGCGAGGCUUGAGGAUCAGAGGGGAAAGGGGAACUCCGAGUGUAGCGGUGAAAUGCGCAGAUAUUCGGGGGGAAGGCCGGCGGCGAAGGCGCCUUUCUGGCUGAUUCCUGACACUGAGGCACGAAAGCGUGGGGAGCAAACAGGAUUAGAUACCCUGGUAGUCCACGCCCUAAACGAUGGAUACUAAUUAGAAGGCCCUGCAAGGGGCUUUUUAACGGAGCAAAAGCGUUAAGUAUCCCGCCUGGGGAGUAUGGUCGCAAGGCUGAA
rnacentral:rRNA from 1 species